AAAUUGAAGAGUUUGAUCAUGGCUCAGAUUGAACGCUGGCGGCAGGCCUAACACAUGCAAGUCGAACGGUAACAGAAAGCAGCUUGCUGCUUUGCUGACGAGUGGCGGACGGGUGAGUAAUGUCUGGGAAACUGCCUGAUGGAGGGGGAUAACUACUGGAAACGGUAGCUAAUACCGCAUAACGUCGCAAGACCAAAGAGGGGGACCUUCGGGCCUCUUGCCAUCGGAUGUGCCCAGAUGGGAUUAGCUUGUUGGUGGGGUAACGGCUCACCAAGGCGACGAUCCCUAGCUGGUCUGAGAGGAUGACCAGCCACACUGGAACUGAGACACGGUCCAGACUCCUACGGGAGGCAGCAGUGGGGAAUAUUGCACAAUGGGCGCAAGCCUGAUGCAGCCAUGCCGCGUGUAUGAAGAAGGCCUUCGGGUUGUAAAGUACUUUCAGCGGGGAGGAAGGGAG
rnacentral:rRNA from 1 species